GAUUAGACCAAGUGACUCCAGGUGUGCUCUGAUCCACCGUGGUCUCAGUUCAAAUGCUGCCUGUAUUGCUUGCCAUAUAUUUAUAAUCUGAGAUGAUGAUGAUGAUGUUGCAUGAAACGGCUGCAGAAGACCCUGAGUGCCCUGAACUCCUUGUUGGUCCGUUGCUGUUAAUGGAUGUACAUGGAGACAGCGCCCCCAUGUGGACAUGGUUCUGAAGCUUUCCAAUUCCUUCUCAGUACCUACCUCUUCCUCCUCCCUUGCGCAGC